GGGGGAAAGAUUUAUCGCCAUUGGAGCGGCCCGCGUUGGAUUAGGUAGUUGGUGAGGUAAAGGCUCACCAAGCCUACGAUCCAUAGCUGGUCUGAGAGGAUGACCAGCCACACUGGAACUGAGACACGGUCCAGACUCCUACGGGAGGCAGCAGUGGGGAAUAUUGCACAAUGGGCGAAAGCCUGAUGCAGCAACGCCGCGUGAGUGAUGAAGGCCUUCGGGUCGUAAAGCUCUUUGAUCAGGGAUGAUAAUGACAGUACCUGAAAAACAAGCCACGGCUAACUACGUGCCAGCAGCCGCGGUAAUACGUAGGUGGCGAGCGUUGUCCGGAAUUAUUGGGCGUAAAGGAUGCGUAGGUGGAUAUUUAAGUGGGAUGUGAAAUCCCCGGGCUCAACCCGGGAACUGCAUUCCAUACUGGAUGUCUAGAGUGCAGGAGAGGAAAGUGGAAUUCCUAGUGUAGCGGUGAAAUGCGUAGAUAUUAGGAGGAACACCAGUGGCGAAGGCGACUUUCUGGACUGUAACUGACACUGAGGCAUGAAAGCGUGGGUAGCAAACAGGAUUAGAUACCCUGGUAGUCCACGCCGUAAACGAUGGGUACUAGGUGUAGGAGGUAUCGACCCCUUCUGUGCCGUCGUUAACACAAUAAGUACCCCGCCUGGGGAGUACGGUCGCAAGACUAAAACUCAAAGGAAUUGACGA
rnacentral:rRNA from 1 species